UCGAAGAUCUAGAUUUGAAAAUCUAAUUUAGUUUAAAAACAAUAAAAUGGGUCACUCUUUAAAUCAUUUACUGCAAAACGAAUUUUUUUUUCACCAAAAAGAACUUGUUAUUAAAAUAAAGCAUAAAAUAAUGAACAAAAAUAUGAAGUUAAUUUUGUUAAUAAGUAAAAAAGGGCAAGAAUGGAUAUAAUAAAUAAGAAAGCUAAAGUUGAAGCUGCGAAAUAGUUUAUUGUUAUACAGUUAUCUUACCUAUUGCAUGGGGACCAGUUUUACUAUAUUGAUAAAAAUCUAUAGUUAACGAAAUGUGUAUGCGGGAUUAUAAUUGGCGUUAACAAAACGAUUAAUGGCAUUAACAAAACGAUUGAUAGCAUCAAUAAAACGAUAGAUGAAAAAUCUCUUUGAAGACAACUAAAUGCUCUUUAUAUUUACAAACUACACAUUAAGUUUUGCUGUUCAUGUUUUAACGAAAUAUUGUUACUCUAAUAUA